UGGUUAAGAUACUAAGGGCGCACGGUGGAUGCCUAGGCGCCACCAGGCGAUGAAGGACGCGGCUACCGGCGAUACGCCCCGGGAAGGUGGCAGCAACCGUAGAUCCGGGGGUCUCCGAAUGGGGAAACCCAUCCCGUCAAGGGAUAUCACACCCUGAAUACAUAAGGGGUGUGAGGCGAACCCGGGGAACUGAACCAUCUCAGUACCCGGAGGAAAAGAAAUCAACCGAGAUUCCCUUAGUAGCGGCGAGCGAACGGGGAAGAGCCUAAACCGACUGCGGCGUAGAAGGCGCCGGCCGUUGCCGCAGCGGGGUCGUGGGACAUUGCCGGACCCGACCGGCGUGAGGGUCGCGGAGUUACAAAUCUCCAGCCUAGCCGAACUACCUGGAAAGGUAGGCCAGAGAGGGUGAAAGCCCCGUAGGCGAAAGGCUAGGAGACUCCGUCGGCAAUGUUCCCGAGUAGGGCGGGACACGUGGAAUCCCGUCCGAAUCUGGGGGGACCACCCUCCAAGGCUAAAUACUCGGUGGCGACCGAUAGUGCACUAGUACCGUGAGGGAAAGGUGAAAAGAACCCCAGUGCGGGGAGUGAAAAGAACCUGAAACCGUGUGCCUACAAGCGGUCGGAGGCUUGCCUCUCAUGCCUCUUCGGAGGCAUUAUUGGGAGGCGGCUGACGGCGUGCCUAUUGAAUAAUGAGCCGGCGAGUUACUCUCAGUCGCCAGGUUAACCGCCUCAGGCGGGGAGCCGUAGCGAAAGCGAGUCCGAAAAGGGCGUCAAAGUGGCUGGGAGUAGACCCGAAACCGGGCGAGCUACCCAUGGGCAGGGUGAAGUCCGGGUAAUACCGGACGGAGGCCCGAACCUCAGAGCGGUGAAAAGCUCGUGGAUGACCUGUGGGUAGGGGUGAAAGUCCAAACAAGCCCGGAGAUAGCUGGUUCUCCCCGAUAUGCCUUUAGGGGCAGCCUCGGGUGGACCGUGCAGGAGGUAGAGCACUGUUUGGGCUAGGGCCCGUAAGGGUACCAAACCCAGGCAAACUCCGAAUGCCUGCACGCAAUACCCGGGAGUGAGGUGAUGGGGGAUAAGCUCCAUCACCGUGAGGAAAACAAUCCAGACCGCCAGCUAAGGUCCCCAAAUCCAGGCUAAGUGGUGAAGGAUGUGGGGCUGCGCAGACAGCCGGGAGGUUGGCUUAGAGGCAGCCAUCCUUUAAAGAGUGCGUAAAAGCUCACCGGUCGAGUGGUUCUGCGCCGAAAAUGAUCGGGGCUUAAGCCUGGUACCGAAGCUGCGGGUCAGUGUAUGCGUUGCAUGCCCUGGCGGUAGGGGAGCGUUCCCAGCGCGGUGAAGGCAGACCGUGAGGCUUGCUGGAGCGCUGGGAAGUGAUUAUGCCGGCAUGAGUAGCGAUAAAGCAGGUGAGAACCCUGCUCGCCGAAAGCCUAAGGUUUCCUGGGGAAGGUCAGUCCUCCCAGGGUUAGGCGGCCCCUAAGCCGAGGCCGAAAGGCGUAGGUGAUGGGAAGCCGGUUAAUAUUCCGGCCCCACCCAGCUGGAGCGAAGGGGGGACGCAGAAGGAGAGGGCAGCGCGGCGCUGGUCGUCCGCGUCUAAGGGCGUAGGAGGUGGGCGAGGCAAAUCCUUGCCCACAUAAAACUCCGAGACCCGAUGGGGACCCCGAUUAAAAUCGGGGGAACUGCCCGGUCUCCACGCUGCCGAGAAAAGCCCCUAAGCGUUGAAGGCUGGGUGACCGUACCGCAAACCGACACAGGUAGGCGAGGUGAGUAUCCAAAGGCGCACGAGUUAUCCGUCCUCAAGGAACUCGGCAAUUUGGCCCCGUAACUUCGGGAGAUGGGGCGCUCCGAGUAGGUGUAGUAGCUAGCCUACGAAGCCGAAAGGAGCCGCAGAUAAUCGGGCCUGGCGACUGUUUAUCAAAAACACAGGUCUCUGCUAACCCCUAAAGGGGAAGUAUAGGGACUGACGCCUGCCCAGUGCCGGAAGGUUAAGGGGAGCCGUUAUCCCGAGUUUUCGGGAGAAGCGGUGAACCGAAGCCCCGGUAAACGGCGGCCGUAACUAUAACGGUCCUAAGGUAGCGAAAUUCCUUGUCGGGUAAGUUCCGACCCGCAUGAAAGGCGUAACGACUUGGGCGCUGUCU
rnacentral:rRNA from 1 species